rnacentral:rRNA from 1 species
GAUGAACGCUGGCGGCGUGCUUAACACAUGCAAGUCGAACGAAGCAAUUAGAGUGCUUGCACUUUGAUUGACUGAGUGGCGGACGGGUGAGUAACGCGUGGGUAACCUGCCUCACACAGGGGGACAACAGCUGGAAACGGCUGCUAAUACCGCAUAAGCGCACAGUACCGCAUGGUACAGUGUGAAAAACUCCGGUGGUGUGAGAUGGACCCGCGUCUGAUUAGCUAGUUGGUAAGGUAACGGCUUACCAAGGCGACGAUCAGUAGCCGGCCUGAGAGGGUGAACGGCCACAUUGGGACUGAGACACGGCCCAAAAUCCUACGGGAGCAGCAGUGGGGAAUAUUGCACAAUGGGGGAAACCCUGAUGCAGCGACGCCGCGUGAACGAUGAAGUAUUUCGGAUGUAAAGUUCUAUCAGCAGGGAAGAUAAUGACGGUACCUGACUAAGAAGCACCGGCUAAAAUACGUG